AAAAAUUGAAGAGGUUGCAUUGCUCAUCAGUAGCUGUCUGGAGGCUGGCAAAAGCCGGAACGAUGGUGAAAGGGUGUGAUGCCGAAAUGCGGGGAUGUUUGCCCAUCUUCGACAUUGGGACGUAUACCGAAAGGGUGCGGACUGUCGCGUUUUUACGCGGGGAGCUUCAAGAAUG
rnacentral:ncRNA from 2 species